GACGAACGCUGGCGGCGUGCCUAAUACAUGCAAGUCGAACGCAUUUUCUUUCACCGUAGCUUGCUACACCGAAAGAAAAUGAGUGGCGAACGGGUGAGUAACACGUGGGUAACCUGCCCAUCAGCGGGGGAUAACACUUUGGAAACAGGUGCUAAUACCGCAUAGGUAAUACAAAGGCAUCUUAGUAUUAUUAAAGUUGGGUAUCCAACACCAUGGGAUGGGCUUAUGCUGUAUUAGCUAGUUGGUGAGAUAAAAGCCCACCAAGGCGAUGAUAUAUAGCUGGUCUGAGAGGAUGAACAGCCGCAUUGGGACUGAGACACGGCCAG
rnacentral:rRNA from 1 species